rnacentral:rRNA from 1 species
AACAGAGGGGGCGAGCAUUAUCUUUGUUGACUGGGCGUAAAGGAUGUGUAGGCGGAAAGUAAAUUCAAUAGCUUGAUCGGAAUGUUUACGUAUUGACGUAACCCUAAUCUCGCAAAAGACUUUCUAUAGAGGUAUGCAAAAGUAAUUUGUAAAAUGGCAUGUGAGUAUUUUCUCAAAAUAUGCUGGGUAGCACCAAAGGCAAAAGCAAAAUUCUAGGCAUAACCUUACGCUGAAACAUGAAGCCGUGGGGCGCAAAAGGG